rnacentral:rRNA from 1 species
GGCUUCGUGUAAUAAUUAAAAUACGAAGUCGGACCUGCCCAGUGAAGUUUAAACGGCCGCGGUACUCUGACCGUGCAAAGGUAGCAUAAUCAUUUGCCUUAUAAUUGAAGGCUGGAAUGAAUGGUUUGACAAGAAUACACCUGUCUCUUUUAGAUUAUUUAGAAUUUUAUCUUUGGGUGAAAAAGCCCAGAUCUUAUUAAAAGACAAGAAGACCCUAUCGAGCUUCAGAAAAAUUAAUAGAGAUUAUAUUUAAUAUUAAUUAAAAGAAAAGCUAUUGAAUACUUUGGUUGGGGCAACCGAGGAGCAAAUAAAGCCUCCUUUAAAUAAGAAGUCUUACUUGUGAAGAUCCAAGAAUUUUGAUCAAAGAAAUUAGUUACCGUAGGGAUAACAGCAUUAUCUUUUUUGAGAGCCCAUAUCGAAAAAAAGGUUUGUGACCUCGAUGUUGGACCAGAAUAUCCUAAAGAUGCAGAAGUCUUUGAGGGUUGGUCUGUUCGACCAUUAAAAUUCUACGUGAUCUGAGUUCAGACCGGCGUGAGCCAGGUCAGUUUCUAUCUUUAUAUUUUUCGGUUACGUUUAGUACGAAAGGACCGAUGUAACAUAUUAAAUAUUUUAUUCUGAUUAAGUAUAAUUUAGCUAUAAAUCAAAUUAGCAAAGAAUUAUGCGAUUGACUUAGGAUCAAUAGACAUAGGUUAAAAUCCUUUAUUUGAUAAUUAAUAAAGGUGGCAGAUUAA